UAGAGUUUGAUCAUGGCUCAGAGUGAACGCUGGCGGCGUGGAUUAGGCAUGCAAGUCGAGCGAUCUUUGCCGAUGUUUUAUUGGAGUGCUUGCACAAAGAUAAAACUGAAGCGCUAGAUAGCGGCAAACGGGUGAGUAACGCGUGAGUAAUUUUCCCUAAAGUCAGGUAUAGCUUCGUGAAAACGGAGGUAAUCCCUGAUGUGACCAUUGAACCGUAUGAUUUAAUGGUUAAAGGUGGGGACCCUUCGGGGCCCAUCGCUUUGGGAUGAGCUCGCGUCCUAUCAGCUUGUUGGUGAGGUAACGGCUCACCAAGGCUUAUAACGGGUAGCUGGUCUGAGAGGAUGGUCAGCCACACUGGGACUGAGACACUGCCCAGACUCCUACGGGAGGCUGCAGUCGAGAAUAUUUAGCAAUGGACGAAAGUCUGACUAUGCGACGCCGCGUGCAGGAUGAAGGUUUUCGGAUCGUAAACUGCUUUUGUUAGGAAAGAAUGUUUAACGGUUAAUACCCGUUAAAUUGACGGUACCUGACGAAUAAGCCACGGCCAACUCCGUGCCAGCAGCCGCGGUAAUACGGAGGUGGCGAGCGUUACUCGGAAUUAUUGGGUGUAAAGGGCAAGUAGGUGGUUUGGUAAGUGAGGGGUGAAAUCUUCCGACUUAAUCGGAAAACUGCCUUUCAUACUGCCAGACUUGAGGAAGGUAGAGGGAAAUGGAAUUUGCGGUGUAAGGGUGAAAUCUGUAGAUAUCGCAAAGAACACCAGCGGCGAAGGCGAUUUCCUGGGCCUUUCCUGACGCUAAAUUGCGAAAGCUAGGGGAGCAAACAGAAUUAGAUACUCUGGUAGUCCUAGCCGUAAACGAUGAGCACUAGGUGUUGGGUCUUCGGAUUCAGUGCCGCAGCUAACGCAUUAAGUGCUCCACCUGGGGACUACGGUCGCAAGGCUAAAACUCAAAGGAAUUGACGGGGGCCCGCACAAGCGGUGGAACAUGUGGUUUAAUUCGAUGAUACGCGAAGAACCUCACCAGGGCUUGACAUAUAAGAAGUAGUGAACCGAAAGGGGAACGAACCGUCAAGUCGGAAACUUAUACAGGUGCUGCAUGGCUGUCGUCAGCUCGUGUCGUGAGAUGUUGGGUUAAGUCCCGCAACGAGCGCAACCAUUACCCGAUGUUGCCACCUCGAAUCUAGUUUACUAGAUUUGGGAGCACUCUUCGGGGACUGCCUGGGAUAACCAGGAGGAAGGUGGAGAUGACGUCAAGUCAGUACGGCCCUUAUGCCCUGGGCUACACACGUGUUACAAUGGCUGGUACAAAGGGUUGCCAACCCGUGAGGGGGAGCUAAUCUCAAAAAACCAGCCCCAGUUCAGAUAGGAGUCUGCAAUCCGACUCCUUGAAGCCGGAAUCGCUAGUAAUGGCAGAUCAGCACGCUGCCGUGAAUACGUUCCCGGGCCUUGUAGACACCGCCCGU
rnacentral:rRNA from 1 species